UCCGUUGUAGCAAUACGAUGGAAAGUCUAGUGGCGAACGGGUGCUUAACACGUGGGCAACCUGCCAGGAAGUGGGGGAUAGCUCGCCGAAAGGCGAAUUAAUACCGCAUGUGAUUAGAGAGGACAUCCUUUCGAAAUUAAAGUCGGGGCAACCUGACGCUUCUUGUGGGGCCCGCGGCCUAUCAGCUAGUUGGUGGGGUAACGGCUCACCAAGGCUUUGACGGGUAGCUGGUCUGAGAGGACGACCAGCCACACUGGGACUGAGACACGGCCCAGACACCUACGGGUGGCAGCAGUCGAGAAUUUUUGACAAUGGGGGAAACCUUGAUCGAGCGACGCCGCGUGGAGGAUGAAGGUCUUCGGAUUGUAAACUCCUGUCAUCGGGGAACAAUGCGUGAUGGUUAACUGCCGUUGCGUUGAUAGUACCCGAAGAGGAAGAGACGGCUAACUCUGUGCCAGCAGCCGCGGUAAUACAGAGGUCUCAAGCGUUGUUCGGAUUCAUUGGGCGUAAAGGGUGCGUAGGCGGCGCGGUAAGUCGGGUGUGAAAUCUCGGAGCUUAACUCCGAAACUGCAUUCGAUACUGCCGUGCUUGAGGACUGGAGAGGAGACUGGAAUUCACGGUGUAGCA
rnacentral:rRNA from 1 species